UACGUAGGGGGCAAGCGUUGUCCGGAAUCAUUGGGCGUAAAGAGCGUGUAGGCGGUCCGAUAAGUCCGCUCUGAAAGCCCGGGGCUCAACCCCGGGAGGCGGGCGGAUACUGUCGGGCUAGAGUCCGGAAGAGGCAAGUGGAAUUCCUGGUGUAGCGGUGAAAUGCGCAGAUAUCAGGAGGAACACCGAUGGCGAAGGCAGCUUGCUGGGACGGUACUGACGCUGAGGAGCGAAAGCGUGGGGAGCGAACAGG
rnacentral:rRNA from 1 species